GGUUAAGUGACUAAGCGUACACGGUGGAUGCCUGGGCAGUCAGAGGCGAUGAAGGACGUACUAACUUGCGAUAAGCGCAGAUAAGGCAGUAAGAGCCGUUUGAGUCUGCGAUUUCCGAAUGGGGAAACCCAACUGCAUAAGCAGUUACUGUUAACUGAAUACAUAGGUUAACAGAGCAAACCGGGGGAACUGAAACAUCUAAGUACCCCGAGGAGAAGAAAUCAACCGAGAUUCCGGUAGUAGCGGCGAGCGAACCUGGAUUAGCCCUUAAGCACUCGGUGAAGUAGGUGAACAAGCUGGAAAGCUUGGCGAUACAGGGUGAUAGCCCCGUAACCGACGCUUCAUCGAGCGUGAAAUCGAGUAGGGCGGGACACGUGAUAUCCUGUCUGAAUAUGGGGGGACCAUCCUCCAAGGCUAAAUACUCCUGACUGACCGAUAGUGAACCAGUACCGUGAGGGAAAGGCGAAAAGAACCCCUGUGAGGGGAGUGAAAUAGAACCUGAAACCGUGUACGUACAAGCAGUAGGAGCACCUUCGUGGUGUGACUGCGUACCUUUUGUAUAAUGGGUCAGCGACUUAUAUUCAGUGGCAAGGUUAACCGUAUAGGGGAGCCGUAGCGAAAGCGAGUCUUAACUGGGCGCUCAGUCUCUGGAUAUAGACCCGAAACCGGGUGAUCUAGCCAUGGGCAGGUUGAAGGUUGAGUAACAUCAACUGGAGGACCGAACCGACUAAUGUUGAAAAAUUAGCGGAUGACUUGUGGCUAGGGGUGAAAGGCCAAUCAAACUCGGAGAUAGCUGGUUCUCCCCGAAAGCUAUUUAGGUAGCGCCUCGGACGAAUACUACUGGGGGUAGAGCACUGUUAAGGCUAGGGGGUCAUCCCGACUUACCAACCCUUUGCAAACUCCGAAUACCAGUAAGUACUAUCCGGGAGACACACGGCGGGUGCUAACGUCCGUCGUGGAGAGGGAAACAACCCAGACCGCCAGCUAAGGUCCCAAAGUAUUGCUAAGUGGGAAACGAUGUGGGAAGGCUCAGACAGCUAGGAUGUUGGCUUAGAAGCAGCCAUCAUUUAAAGAAAGCGUAAUAGCUCACUAGUCGAGUCGGCCUGCGCGGAAGAUGUAACGGGGCUAAGCAAUACACCGAAGCUGCGGCAAUAUCUUUUAGAUAUUGGGUAGGGGAGCGUUCUGUAAGCCGUUGAAGGUGGAUCGUAAGGUUUGCUGGAGGUAUCAGAAGUGCGAAUGCUGACAUGAGUAACGACAAAGGGGGUGAAAAACCUCCUCGCCGGAAGACCAAGGGUUCCUGUCCAACGUUAAUCGGGGCAGGGUGAGUCGACCCCUAAGGUGAGGCCGAAAGGCGUAAUCGAUGGGAAACGGGUUAAUAUUCCCGUACUUCUGACUAUUGCGAUGGGGGGACGGAGAAGGCUAGGUGGGCCAGGCGACGGUUGUCCUGGUUCAAGUGCGUAGGCUUGAGAGUUAGGUAAAUCCGGCUCUCUCUAAGGCUGAGACACGACGUCGAGCUGCUACGGCAGUGAAGUCAUUGAUGCCAUGCUUCCAGGAAAAGCCUCUAAGCUUCAGAUAGUCAGGAAUCGUACCCCAAACCGACACAGGUGGUCGGGUAGAGAAUACCAAGGCGCUUGAGAGAACUCGGGUGAAGGAACUAGGCAAAAUGGUACCGUAACUUCGGGAGAAGGUACGCUCUUGAUGGUGAAGUCCCUCGCGGAUGGAGCUGACGAGAGUCGCAGAUACCAGGUGGCUGCAACUGUUUAUUAAAAACACAGCACUGUGCAAAAUCGCAAGAUGACGUAUACGGUGUGACGCCUGCCCGGUGCCGGAAGGUUAAUUGAUGGGGUUAGCGCAAGCGAAGCUCUUGAUCGAAGCCCCGGUAAACGGCGGCCGUAACUAUAACGGUCCUAAGGUAGCGAAAUUCCUUGUCGGGUAAGUUCCGACCUGCACGAAUGGCGUAAUGAUGGCCACGCUGUCUCCACCCGAGACUCAGUGAAAUUGAAAUCGCUGUGAAGAUGCAGUGUACCCGCGGCUAGACGGAAAGACCCCGUGAACCUUUACUACAGCUUGGCACUGAACAUUGAACCUACAUGUGUAGGAUAGGUGGGAGGCUAUGAAGACGUGACGCCAGUUGCGUUGGAGCCGUCCUUGAAAUACCACCCUUGUAUGUUUGAUGUUCUAACUUAGACCCAUUAUCUGGGUUGAGGACAGUGCCUGGUGGGUAGUUUGACUGGGGCGGUCUCCUCCCAAAGAGUAACGGAGGAGCACGAAGGUGGGCUAAUCACGGUUGGACAUCGUGAGGUUAGUGCAAUGGCAUAAGCCCGCUUAACUGCGAGAAUGACGGUUCGAGCAGGUGCGAAAGCAGGUCAUAGUGAUCCGGUGGUUCUGUAUGGAAGGGCCAUCGCUCAACGGAUAAAAGGUACUCCGGGGAUAACAGGCUGAUACCGCCCAAGAGUUCAUAUCGACGGCGGUGUUUGGCACCUCGAUGUCGGCUCAUCACAUCCUGGGGCUGAAGUCGGUCCCAAGGGUAUGGCUGUUCGCCAUUUAAAGUGGUACGCGAGCUGGGUUUAGAACGUCGUGAGACAGUUCGGUCCCUAUCUGCCGUGGGCGUUGGAAGAUUGAAGGGGGCUGCUCCUAGUACGAGAGGACCGGAGUGGACGAACCUCUGGUGUUCGGGUUGUGUCGCCAGACGCAUUGCCCGGUAGCUAAGUUCGGAAUUGAUAAGCGCUGAAAGCAUCUAAGC
rnacentral:rRNA from 1 species